UACGUAGGGGGGCAAGCGUUGUCCGGAUUUAUUGGGCGUAAAGAGCGUGUAGGCGGCUAGAUAGGUCCGUUGUGAAAACUCGAGGCUCAACCUCGAGACGUCGAUGGAAACCAUCUGGCUAGAGUCCGGAAGAGGAGAGUGGAAUCCUGGUGUAGCGGUGAAAUGCGCAGAUAUCAGGAGGAACACCGGUGGCGAAGGCGGGAUCCUGGGCCAGUACUGACGCUGAGGAGCGAAAGCGUGGGAGCAACAGG
rnacentral:rRNA from 1 species